GAUGAAGAACGUAGCGAAAUGCGAUAAGUAAUGUGAAUUGCAGAAUUCAGUGAAUCAUCGAAUCUUUGAACGCACAUUGCGCCCGUCAGUAUUCUGGCGGGCAUGCCUGUUCGAGCGUCAUUACGCCCCUCAAGUCCCCUGUGGACUUGGUGUUGGGGAUCGGCGAGGCUGGUUUUCCAGCACAGCCGUCCCUUAAAUUAAUUGGCGGUCUCGCCGUGGCCCUCCUCUGCGCAGUAGUAAAACACUCGCAACAGGAGCCCGGCGCGGUCCACUGCCGUAAAACACCCCAACUUUUUAUAGUUGACCUCGAAUCAGGUAGGACUACCCGCUGAACUUAAGCAUAUCAAUAAGCGGAGGA
rnacentral:misc_RNA from 1 species